CUUUGCGCUUCCUGACUGCGCGCAGGCUCUGGACCCCGCGGCUAGCUUUCGGCUUGCAGCAGUCGGGCUGGGGCUCGCCGCCGCCUUUGUUAAUCUGCACGCAGGGCAGGCGGAGCGUCCUAAGGAGAAUGCAGAACUCAUUGUGUUUUCUCAAGGCAUCUGAUAAUGUCACAGAAGAAUCUGUAUUGGUCCAUGCAAAUAUUGUACCCUGAUGAAAAGCACUAAAGGAUACUUGGAAGGAUGUAUGGGAAAUAUGUAUUAUGUGGAGCUGGAGAAAACUGGGCAAAGGUCCAGAUGGGUAAAGCACCUGUCCCUGGGAUUCUUACAGAGCAUUGGCUGUGUACCAGCAGUGAAUAAAGCACAUUAAAUACUGUAUGCAUAUAGAUGCAAAACCAAGAUGUAAUCCAUCUGACAAGCCUGCAAAAGAGAUGAUACCUUCCUUGCCAAGCAUGAAAUAGUCUAAGCUUGGACUGUUUGCUUAAUUUGACAAGUAAUAUAGUUUGUAAAGAGCCAGCAUCUAAGUGAAGUUCUGUCAUUCACUAAGCUCUGGGAAAACUACAACCCACAGUCUUCUCUUCUUGGAGAAUGAUAUCAAAUACCAUGUGUUUAAUUUCUAUAAGCAAUGCUUAGAGAAAUGUUGAAGUUCCCCUGGGAAAUUUCCUGUGCCUUCCCCAAGGAUGAAGAAUACAGGUUUUAUACAGAUUAAUAUUUCUAGCAUUCUAUCUUCAAAGAAAUGUUUAAUAGCCUGAUGGAUUAUGGUGUAGAGCAAAUGACUUCUAUGAAGUGUUCUUUUAGAUGUUUUCAGCACAGCAGAAAAGGACCUCAUAUAUUUUUAGUCUCCUGUCCUCAGUGUAGCUUCCAUUACUCUCUGAGUUUAUCAGGAAGAAGAAUGAUGCUUUGAUUAAAAAAAGAACAUUAUUGCUGCCAUAGUCAGGGCUCACCAAGGGCAGAUCUGCACAUCUUUCUUCUACUCGCUUCCCCAUAAACGUGACAGAAAGCAAUGGUAAAAUGCAUCAGACUAUGACAAUUGUGCAAAGGCUGUUAUACAUCUUCAGCUCCUCAUGAAACACUCACAAAAACAUUUCUAACCAGUGCCAUGUAUAGACCCAAUCAUCUUCAGUUUUCUCCUUUGAAAUAAAAUAGAAAAACAUGCUGAAGGACACAGGUCUACCAACCUUUAGCUCAUCAGCCUAGAGCUGCUAAUUCUUUAGCAUGAUUUUGAGCUUCAAGUAGAGGGCAAAUAAGAACCUUAAUGCAUUCUGUCUUUGCUUGCUCAUUAUUCAUCCAGAGCUGCUCUGCCUCCGUCUAGUUCUCUAUUACUGGAGUUACAGCCAUGAUCUCCAAUUGAUUUGCCUACUUCUAUGUCUUGCCUUCCAAAUGGGUUCUUCACAUCAUUAAGAGUGCUAAGCACAAGGCUCUCUCCACACCUUCCAAGUGGUUGACGUUCUUUCUGUAUUACUUCUUUUGUGCAGUUGUGACCAAAAUACUUGAGAGAACAUCUUAAAAGGUUUCUCCUGGUUUCAGAGAUAUCAGUGUACGGUUCUUUUCACCGCUGUUUCUGUACUCACAAUGAGGCAGAAGCUCAUAGCACCAGGAACAUGGCUAACAGGUAGCAGAGAAGGAAGACAAAUCAAGAACGAGAUAAAGCCCUCCAAGGUUUUCCCCAUGAUCUACUUCCUCCAGGCAGGCCCGGUGCUCACCACCUUUCAGAAAGCACCAUUAGUUGGGGAACAAGAGUUUAACACAUGAACCUCUGGGGACAUAGGACAGUCCUGUCCUGCUCAUCUCCCUACUUCAGCCAAUGAAAUGUGUCCUCUUUCCUCAGUCAUUCACUUCCAGCCAACUUUCUCAAUCUUUUCUUUAAGAUUGCCUGGAUUUGGACAGAUUUGUCAGUUCCUCAUCUUUGACUCUGGGCUUUAUGAUGUUUCCUGUCCAUGUUUGUGAUUUAAUGAGAUCCCUUCAAAGCUAAAACUUGAUGAGUUUCCAGUUGAUUUAAAUAGAAAUGUAAAAAUUUCACAUAAAUCUCUAUGUUAAACUACUGCAAUUUCCACUCUUCUUGUUCAUUAAUGAUAUUUUCCCACAUUAUUCCAAUGAAAUGAUUUCUACUAUCUUUUUUAUUUGUUAUUUUAAAUGUAUAAAAUCUAGAUUAUUACAUGUACAAUAGGAGAAUUUUUGAACAUCUGAAGCAUUCUCUAAUUGUCAUGAAUCUUUCAUUUUAUAUUACAUUAGUAUAAAAGAUUGUGAAUAAUGUUUGUGCAUGUAGUUCUAUGCGUGGCCUCAAGUGUGGGAGCCCAGAAAUAUUCUAACUUGUGGUUUGACUCAAGGUCAGAGAGUCAGAGACUAUGUUGCUCUCCAAGGCUUCAUAAUAGGAUGAAAAGGCAUGGUUACCAGAUGUAUUAUACUUCAAGGCCUAAUCACAAGACACGUUGUCAUGGAGUGUAGUUACCAGGUGUUGUGAAGGGUCUAUACUUGGCUGUACAUUUGUGCUUUGAUCUUGAAAGGGGGAGGUCUUUUGCCUCUCCUCUUGCUAAUGUAUAAAAAGUUCAUUAGAAAUAAACU